rnacentral:rRNA from 1 species
CCUACGGGGAGCAGCAGUAGGGAAUAUUGCUCAAUGGGGGAAACCCUGAAGCAGCAACGCCGCGUGGAGGAUGAAGGUUUUCGGAUUGUAAACUCCUUUUGUUAGAGAAGAUAAUGACGGUAUCUAACGAAUAAGCACCGGCUAACUCCGUGCCAGCAGCCGCGGUAAUACGGAGGGUGCAAGCGUUACUCGGAAUCACUGGGCGUAAAGAGCGCGUAGGCGGGAUAGCAAGUCAGAUGUGAAAUCCUAUGGCUUAACCAUAGAACUGCAUUUGAAACUGUUAAUCUAGAGUAUGGGAGAGGUAGGUGGAAUUCUUGGUGUAGGGGUAAAAUGCGUAGAGAUCAGGAGGAAUACUCAUUGCGAAGGCGACCUGCUAGAACAUAACUGACGCUGAUGCGCGAAAGCGUGGGGAGCAAACAGGAUUAGAUACCCUAGUAGUC